rnacentral:lncRNA from 1 species
GAUGCGUUUCCAGGUGACAUUGCUGCAGAGAGGAAGAGGAAGAUGCUUUUCCAGGCGACGUUGCUGCAGAGAGGAAGAGGGUGGGACGCAUUUCCAGGAGACGUCGCUGAAGAGGGGAAGAGGGAGGCCCCUCCAGCAGGGCCACCUAGAUGUUUGCUUUGCCCCGCGUGGAGUCAUAUUCCAGGAACCCCCGAACCCACCUGCAGCUUGAUUCUGCUCCUCAGGGCCAGAGGUUCUAGUUUAUGGGAGGAGUGUUUUCUCACUGGAAACAUGGAGCCCACACACACUUCUACGCUGGAAGCCGUGAUGUGUGUCAGGAACGUGUUCUGAUGUUGGUGUGCAAAAUCAGUAUUGUGCCUUUGUCCCCUCUGACCCCCAUCACGGCAGUUCUGAGGCUUGUGGGGCACCCCAGCUCCUCUCCCUCUGCACAGGCCACUGUUCCCAGAACUCGAGGGUUCCCUGACACCAAGAUGACAUGUGGCACAGACCUGGAAUCACGAGGAAAUGCCCGUCCUCCUCCCACGGGCAGACAGGUCGAGUGUGUUUCCAGAGACCGGGCCGUCCGUGGGGCAGUAGCGCCUGGAUGACGUCUGCUUUCGCCUGGAGCCCUGGCUGCAAGGGGCGGUGCCGGGCAAGGGCCACCCCAGGGGUCUGGGAGUGCAGUGUCGGGCCUGUGGAGGUGGAGAGCAGGGAUCAGCCUCUUUUUGUGGAUGAGGAAAUGGAGACACGUGGAAACUUCUGGUAAGAAGCUGUCAAGCCUCCAGGUUUCGGUUCUGGACAGGUGCGGGGCAGGUAUUGGAGCACUUUGGGCUCUGAGGUCCACGUGGCCCAGCGGCCUCCAGGAGUCAGCUGCAAGGCGGAGUCCCUGUCCACAAGCUGCGUUGCAGGCACAGAGACCAGGAGAGGGCUGUGAAGCAACUCUGUGUUUACUGGGCUGAAGCAGCAGCUCUUGGCAGUGCCGCCACCAUGGGCUGUGUCCUGUCCCCGUGGCGACAUCACAGCUGAGCGCGAAGCUGGAAGCUUGGGCACGUCUUGGUGCUGGGUCUUCUCCGACCCCGAGGGCCAAGGGUGCUCUGUAGCUCCAGGCGUCAGAGUCUGAGCAUCCUUUGUUUUGGCAACAUCCAGGACAGGAGUCUUUGGAGAGUAACACAUCCUUAUUUUGAAAGAUCCCUUUAGGUGAUUUGAGAAACCGCUGUAUUUGUUGUAGCUCCAAGUAUUACCCGUGAAUCACCUAGGCUGCUCUUCAGUGAACAUCCAGAAUGCCGUCAGUUCUUGUGAAACCCCCAAGUUUCCCGUAGGUCCAAGCUGAGAAGAUUGAGUGAACUCUGAGAGCUGAGCCGGGCCGUCUUGGCACCACUAGAAACGGAAUCAGUUCCAUGACUGAUCUGUGCCCCACCCCACAUUAACUUGUGCAAUAUGACAUUUCUGGUUUUGGUUUUUGUUUUAUAAGCCAUCCAUGGCAAGUGCAGUCGGAGGCCCCCCACUGCCAAAACUUCCUGUGAGUAAUAAUGACAGAUGGGCCCUGACCCUGGAGACGUCUGAGAAGGUGUUUGGGGUCCGAGAAGAGUCCGCGUGUGCAGUGACUGGAACCUGUCCCUGGUGUGAACUUGGGGAUGAGUGGGUGACGGGGGUGGUGGGGGCCUGGGGCACUUCCCCGCCCUCCGGACCACACUGUUGCUCUCCAGCCACGAGAAGAUGCAGCGGCCCCCGGCUGCAGCAGCUACUGUCCCGGAGGGCAGGGGAGUGAGGGAGAGGGAGGGUGUACGGCAUGGGGCCUGCUGCCUGGGGCGCUGGGAUCCCACAGCGAGGCCCUGUUCCCACUGCCCAGGGGCACUGAGAUCCCACAGGGAGGCCCGGUUCCCACUGAGCUUGGGUUCCCAACGGGCUCCUUUUGCUUCCCAAGCACCCUCUCCCACCCUUGAGCUGCAAGGAAUGUUUCAGAGCC